AUACGUAGGGGGCGAGCGUUGUCCGGAAUUACUGGGUGUAAAGGGCGUGUAGGCGGGGAUGCAAGUUAUCGGUAAAAACCCGGGGCUCAACCUCGGGCUUGCCGGUAAAACUGUAUCUCUUGAGUAUAGGAGAGGGAAGUGGAAUUCCUGGAGUAGCGGUGAAAUGCGUAGAUACCAGGAGGAACACCAGUGGCGAAGGCGGCUUCCUGGCCUAUUACUGACGCUGAGGCGCGAAAGCUAGGGUAGCGAACGGGAUUAGAUACCCCGGUAGUCCUAGCCGUAAACGAUGGUCACUAGGUGUGGGUGGUGGUCAAGCCAUCCGUGCCGGAGCUAACGCAAUAAGUGACCCACCUGGGGAGUACGGCCGCAAGGUUGAAACUCAAAUGAAUUGGCGGGG
rnacentral:rRNA from 1 species